AAAGAAACCACCAGGGAUUGCCCUAGUAACGGCGAGUGAAGCGGCAACAGCUCAAAUUUGAAAUCUGGCGUCUUUGGCGUCCGAGUUGUAAUUUGCAGAGGGCGCUUUGGCAUUGGCAGCGGUCCAAGUUCCUUGGAACAGGACGUCACAGAGGGUGAGAAUCCCGUACGUGGUCGCUAGCCUUUACCGUGUAAAGCCCCUUCGACGAGUCGAGUUGUUUGGGAAUGCAGCUCUAAAUGGGAGGUAAAUUUCUUCUAAAGCUAAAUACUGGCCAGAGACCGAUAGCGCACAAGUAGAGUGAUCGAAAGAUGAAAAGCACUUUGGAAAGAGAGUUAAAAAGCACGUGAAAUUGUUGAAAGGGAAGCGCUUGCAGCCAGACUUGCCUGUAGUUGCUCAUCCGGGUUUUUACCCGGUGCACUCUUCUAUAGGCAGGCCAGCAUCAGUUUGGGCGGUUGGAUAAAGGUCUCUGUCACGUACCUCCUCUCGGGGAGAACUUAUAGGGGAGACGUAAUGCAACCAGCCUGGACUGAGGUCCGCGCAUCUGCUAGGAUGCUGGCGUAAUGGCUGUAAGCGGCCCGUCUUGAAACACGGACCAAGGAGUCUAACAUCUAUGCGAGUGUUUGGGUGUCAAGCCCGAGCGCGUAAUGAAAGUGAACGGAGGUGGGAACCUUUCGGGGUGCACCAUCGACCGAUCCUGAUGUCUUCGGAUGGAUUUGAGUAAGAGCAUAGCUGUUGGGACCCGAAAGAUGGUGAACUAUGCUUGAAUAGGGUGAAGCCAGAGGAAACUCUGGUGGAGGCUCGCAGCGGUUCUGACGUGCAAAUCGAUCGUCAAAUUUGGGCAUAGGG
rnacentral:rRNA from 1 species